GUUUCAACAUAUCAAAUCGUUGU
rnacentral:snRNA from 1 species